AGCGCGGGCUGGCGCCGAGGACCGGCCUUGCGAGCGGCGCGCACUAUAAAGCUGCGCGUGCCGCAACCCGCCCCCGUUUUGGAGAGAGAAAUGCUGGGGUGCAGCUUCAAGCUUAGGACCACCCACCAUGCCCAUCCAGCAUCCCUCCAGACUCUCUGCUGUUUCCUGCCUAGGCGUGGCUGCAGCCAUGGGUAGGAAAGUGCUGGCACCCACCCACCUGGGCCGGAGCUGGUUCUGCUCCUGCUACAGGGACACUGAGCUGGCUAUCUCGGCACUUCGGGCAAGAACUGCAACAGGCUCUCCUGGGUCCUGCAGGUGUACAGCCGGGCCCCUGCCUUGUGCCUCAGCUCUGGAGAGCUGCUGCUGCUGGGUGACCUGAUCCAACCUGACAAGGUGCCAUCUUCAGCUACCACUGCAAGGCCCUGAGGGCAACAGCACCACAGCACUGCCCACCCGGCUGCUGAUGGCCUGGUGCCAGCUGGGAGUCCUCCCGCCACUUGGAGGCCACUGAGCCGCCCUUCCAGCCUCGGCCCACCAUGGACAGGGGUAUCCAGCUUCCUCCUCAACCUCGUCCUCUGCCCCUGAGCCAGUGACGCCCAAGGACAUGUCUGUUACCUGGCUCCUGUACCAGCGUGAGCUGGUCAAGGGCAUGACAGUGCUGGAGGCCGUCCUGGAGAUCCAGGCCAUCACUGACAGCAGGCUGCUCUCCAUGGUGCCAGGGCCCGCCAGGCCACCAGGCUCAUGCUGGGACCCAACCCAGUGCACAAGGACUUGGCUGCUGAGCCACACACCCAGGAGAAGGUGGAUAAGUGGGCUACCAAGGGCUUCCUGCAGGCUGGGGGAGGAGCUG
rnacentral:sRNA from 1 species